CCUACGGGUGGCAGCAGUGGGGGAUAUUGCACAAUGGGGGAAACCCUGAUGCAGCGACGCCGCGUGGGUGAAGAAGCGCCUCGGCGCGUAAAGCUCUGUCAGCAGGGAAGAAAAUGACGGUACCUGAAGAAGAAGCCCCGGCUAACUACGUGCCAGCAGCCGCGGUAAUACGUAGGGGGCAAGCGUUAUCCGGAUGUACUGGGGGUAAAGGGGGCGCAGACGGCGAUGCAAGCCAGGAGUGAAAGCCCGGGGCCCAACCCCGGGACGGCUCUUGGAACUGCGUGGCUAGAGUGCAGGAGGGGCAGGCGGAAGUCCUGGUGUAGCGGUGAAAUGCGUAGAUAUCAGGAGGAACACCGGUGGCGAAGGCGGCCUGCUGGACUGCAACUGACGUUGAGGCCCGAAAGCGUGGGGAGCAAACAGGAUUAGAUACCCCAGUAGUC
rnacentral:rRNA from 1 species